rnacentral:tRNA from 1 species
GGUUGUGGCUCAGCGGUAGAGUGCUCGCCUAGCAUGUGUAAGGCCCUAGGUUAGAUCCUCAGCACCA